rnacentral:rRNA from 1 species
ACCCAGACUCCUACGGGAGGCAGCAGUGGGGAAUAUUGGGCAAUGGGCGCAAGCCUGACCCAGCAAUGCCGCGUGAAGGAAGAAGGCUUUCGGGUUGUAAACUUCUUUGACAGGGGAAGAGCAGAAGACGGUACCCUGAAAACAAGCCACGGCUAACUACGUGCCAGCAGCCGCGGUAAUACGUAGGGGGCAAGCGUUAUCCGGAUUUACUGGGUGUAAAGGGGGCGCAGACGGCGAUGCAAGCCAGGAGUGAAAGCCCGGGGCCCAACCCCGGGACUGCUCUUGGAACUGCGUGGCUGGAGUGCAGGAGGGGCAGGCGGAAUUCCUGGUGUAGCGGUGAAAUGCGUAGAUAUCAGGAGGAACACCGGUGGCGAAGGCGGCCUGCUGGACUGCAACUGACGUUGAGGCCCGAAAGCGUGGGGAGCAAACAGGAUUAGAUACCCGGGUAC